rnacentral:rRNA from 1 species
GACGAACGCUGGCGGCGUGCUUAACACAUGCAAGUCGAACGAAGAGCGAUGGAAGCUUGCUUCUAUCAAUCUUAGUGGCGAACGGGUGAGUAACGCGUAAUCAACCUGCCCUUCAGAGGGGGACAACAGUUGGAAACGACUGCUAAUACCGCAUACGAUCUAAUCUCGGCAUCGAGGAUAGAUGAAAGGUGGCCUCUACAUGUAAGCUAUCACUGAAGGAGGGGAUUGCGUCUGAUUAGCUAGUUGGAGGGGUAACGGCCCACCAAGGCGAUGAUCAGUAGCCGGGCUGAGAGGAUGAACGGCCACAUUGGGACUGAGACACGGCCCAGACUCCUACGGGAGGCAGCAGUGGGGAAACUUCCGCAAUGGACGAAAGUCUGACGGAGCAACGCCGCGUGAGUGAUGACGGCCUUCGGGUUGUAAAGCUCUGUUAAUCGGGACGAAAGGCCUUCUUGCGAAUAGUGAGAAGGAUUGACGGUACCGGAAUAGAAAGCCACGGCUAACUACGUG